AUGCAGCCAUAUCGGCUAAAUGCGUUCGGUUUGCGCCCGCGCAUCAAACUACAAAGCAAGUCCUACGGGCCUUUUCGCGUCAUAGCUAAGGUCGGGCAUGUGGCCUACAAAUUGCUUCUGCCUAACAUCACCAACAUCCAUCCUGUCUUCCAUGUUAGCCAGCUGAAAAAACAUGUGGGGCCGAAGGCAGUACCUUGUGCUGAUUUGCCGCUGGUGCGCGCAGAUGACAUGAUACAGACCGAACCAAUGAUGGUCUUGGAAACACGUCAGGUAACGCGCAACAACUUGCCGGUGGUUCAAUGGCUUGUUUAGUGGGAAAACUUUCCACCUGACGAAGCUUCUUGGGAAGACGUGACAUUCAUGAAGAAAACCUUCCCUGCAUUCUUCAAGGCGACCAUCGACCGUUGGUUCAACCGCUCAUCUCCUUGA
rnacentral:rRNA from 1 species